GCUGCCACACAGCGCCCGCCAUCCGCCACUCCCCCGCGGCCGUGCCGUUCCCGCCUCGGCGCUCCGCCGGUCACUGCUCGCCGUGGGUAUCCCUUUGAGCGCGGCGGGAGAAAGAGCCCGAUUUCCCGGGACUGCCGGGCCGUCGGUGAGGAUCCCUCCUUCUCCCUCAGCAGACGUUCCGUCUCCGGAGAGGCAGCGAAGAAAGGCCGAAGAUGGACCGCGAUGGGCCGGACGCCGCCCGCCAGGACGCAGAGCUGGAGCGUGGCCGCUACUUGAGCCGCCGGGCCGUGGCCCAGGAGCAGCUGGCGCAAAUAAAAGAGCACAAGGAUCAGGCAGAUCUGGCCAAACAAGAAAACAAAAGAGAAGGGGAACGAAUACAGAGAUCGAGCCAAUUGCACCAACUAGAAAUUCAGAGAGAAAAAGAAAAGGAACAGGAGAAAAAAGCUGAAUGCCAGAAGCUGCAUCAUGAAUAUGUAGCUGAACAGAAAAUAAUUAAAGCUGAAGAGAAGCAAAAAGAAGACAAAGACAAUGAUCGGAUUAAAGCUUAUAUUAAAGAAAAAGAAAUGAUGGCUGAUCUGACAAGAGAAAAAUAUGCAGAGAYUAACAGGAUGAUACAGAAGCAUAAGGACAAAGCUUUUGAACAAUUAACUGCACAGAUGAAUGAAGCAUUUAAGAUUGAAGAUGAUCGUCUUGCUAGAGGAGCUGCAGAGGUAGAAGUCGAAUACCAAAUGAAAAMCAAAGAGAAAGAAAUUAAAAAAAAGGCUGCCAUUGAAUCUAUUGAAGAACACAGAGCCACUGUGAUAAAGAUGAAAGAGGAAAAGGAGAGACAGGAAAAAGCAGAGGAUGAGAAGGAUCGUAAUCAGAAGAUGACAGAAGAGGGCAUCUACCUGGAAAUGGAAAAAGCCAAGAAACAAAGACAGCGUGAUGCAAACAUGGAAGUACAGAAAAUUCAAAUCCAGCAAAUGGCUGAAAAACAGGCAAGAAAACAGCAGGAAAAGCAAGCAGAAUUGGACUAUCAUGCUCAGAGAGAGACUGCUUUUCUUCGGGAUCGACCAUUUUGAAGAUAAAGACAUGCUCAUUUUAUUACAUCAAGCUUUUUUCCAGCAAGCAGAAAGAAUGGAAAGUUAUUAAAGCCUUUUGAUGGCAGAAGCUGGAACCUCAAGAAGAAGUACUGAUUACUGCAGGAGUGGUGCUGAAAUCUGCAAGCUUGAUAAUGCUCCAAAUGCAUCCUUAAGUGCAUAUUUGCACAUGCUCACUACUAUGCAAUUGAAAUACAUUUGACCACUGUAGCAGUAUCUACAAAGGAAUAAGAAGCUAGCCACUGUCUCCUUCCAAGUUCUAUGUGCCUGCAAAACCAAUCAGUGCCCAACAGCAGAAGCUAACUGUAGACCAAAUUACAAGACAUGCAAUUUUCCAGAACCUGCCUAUACUCAAGCUCAAGAAACAAGUGCCACAGCUUGCAACUGUACUGUAACUAGUCUAAUUUUAUUGUGGAACAAAGCAGUAGAUUCUUUUUAGAAAGUCAGGAGGUAACAACCAAAGGUAAACUAUCUGUACUGUACUCUUCAAAUAUUCUGAGCCUCCAGGCUUAAUUCAAACCUUUUGUUUUGACUUUAAACAAAGCAUCUUACUGAGCAAAUAAAAUUGAGUACAUCCAUCUGUAUCAAUAAAAUCCAUGCUGACUGUACCUUUUAUUUGUGACAGUUUUCUACUUACUUUCACUUUGGCGAAUGGAAUGAAAGGUAGAAAUACCGUCCUGAGAAGUUGUGGCACUGCCUGAGUCUGUAAUCCUUUAUGGGAAAGAGAUGUCUACAGCAAGACUACACAGCCAGGCUGUGAUACUGUUGUGGGUGACUUUUUGAUUGAAAGUUGUUCUUUCACUCAGUUCUAAACUGACUGUAAGUAGUCUUACCACUCCAUCAACAUCCAGAUUGAAUAGACAGUUCCUCUCUAACUAGUGAAAACUAUUCUGCUUCACACAUAGACACACACACAGACUCKUAUUUUUUCAAGUCAAAGAGCAUAGUUGGCAACAAGCAGAGUUUGCAAUUAUGGUAAGACAGUAGGUCAGCUUCAUUACGUGGCUGCAUUUUUAUGUUAUAAUAUA